CCAGGUCCCUUCACCCCCAGGGACUCCGCCACCGCGGGGUCGGGUCACGGCUCGCGGAGGGAGGUCUGGAGGUUUUACAGGGAGGGCCUCCCGCCUCCUCCAGAGGCGCAAACCCCGGACCCGGGGGGCACAGCCCGGGAACCAGGCGCUGCCGGGAGAGGGGGUUGCGGAGGAGGGGAAACCCGAGCUCUCGCCUGGCACCUUCGCCCUCUCGGGCGGGUCCCGCUGUCGCCGCCGCCAGGGCCGGCAGGGGGCGCUGCGCCGCCCUGGCUGCGCACCCGGGGACCAGAACGUGACCUCUUGGUUCUUCCGUAGAGGUGGCUUGCCAAAGGCUCUUUGAAAUUCUGAGGAACACUGCGCGAAAGUAAGCCAAUAGGCUUCGGAUAAAGAGCGCCUACUGUGUACCACGAGCUCUCCAUCCUGUAGUUCUCUAAGGAAGAGGCUAUUCCUGAGAUCCAGAGUUUCUCCGAGAGCAGGGAAAGCAGACAAUCACGCGAGACUGGGGAGCUUCUCCACUGUCGCGGCGCCACCUGCUACAUGACAGCGAUGCCUCAGUCCCCUCAUGGUCGCCAUGGCACCGGAGCUGAGCAUGAAACGGAAAUGAUGAGAGCUGUGACGCGCACGGAGCAGUGUCAGCCAAUGAGAAGAGCGAGUGCUUAUAGUAGCCAAUAAACAACCGAUAUGUAAAUCACCUCGGAGGGUAACGGUACGUGGGUGAGGUCAGGCUUUGGGUUCCUGUAUAAGCAGUCCCUGGCGAAGGGGCAUAGGGUUGUGCGGGGUUUGGUCUAGAUGUUCCGAGGUCGAGGGACGGGCCCUUCUCUGGGCUCUCUAGAGAAGCGCCAUAGAAAGGAAAAGACUAUUUCCGGAUGUAUUACCUACCUGUCUUCCUUGCUUCUCCCUCUC